rnacentral:rRNA from 1 species
CCUACGGGAGGCUGCAGUGAGGAAUAUUGGUCAAUGGACGAGAGUCUGAACCAGCCAAGUAGCGUGAAGGAUGACUGCCCUAUGGGUUGUAAACUUCUUUUAUAUGGGAAUAAAAUGUUCCACGUGUGGGAUUUUGUAUGUACCAUAUGAAUAAGGAUCGGCUAACUCCGUGCCAGCAGCCGCGGUAAUACGGAGGAUCCGAGCGUUAUCCGGAUUUAUUGGGUUUAAAGGGAGCGUAGGUGGAUUGUUAAGUCAGUUGUGAAAGUUUGCGGCUCAACCGUAAAAUUGCAGUUGAAACUGACAGUCUUGAGUACAGUAGAGGUGGGCGGAAUUCGUGGUGUAGCGGUGAAAUGCUUAGAUAUCACGAAGAACUCCGAUUGCGAAGGCAGUUCACUGGACUGCAACUGACACUGAGGCUCGAAAGUGUGGGUAUCAAACAGGAUUAGAUACCCUAGUAGUC